rnacentral:rRNA from 1 species
GAUGAACGCUGGCGGCGUGCCUAAUACAUGCAAGUCGAGCGAACGGACGAGGAGCUUUCUUCUCUGAUGUUAGCGGCUGACGGGUGAGUAACACGUGGAUAACCUACCUAUAAGACUGGGAUAACUUCGGGAAACCUAAGCUAAUACCGGAUAAUAUUUUGAACCGCAUGCUUCAAAAUUUGAAGACGGUCUGGCUGUCACUUAUAGAUGGAUCCGCGCUGCAUUAGCUAGUUGGUAAGGUAACGGCUUACCAAGGCAAAGAUGCAUAGCCGACCUGAGAGGGUGAUCGGCCACACUGGAACUGAGACACGGUCCAAACUCCUACGGGAGGCAGCAGUAGGGAAUCUUCCGCAAUGGGCGGAAGCCUGACGGAGCAACGCCGCGUGAGUGAAGAAGGUCUUCGGAUCGUAAAACUCUGUUAUUAGGGAAGAACAUAUGUGAAAGUAACUGUGAACAUUUUGACGGUACCUAAUCAGAAAGCCACGGCUAACUACGUG